AGCGAACGCUGGCGGCAGGCUUAACACAUGCAAGUCGAGCGGGCGUAGCAAUACGUCAGCGGCAGACGGGUGAGUAACGCGUGGGAACAUACCUUUUGGUUCGGAACAACACAGGGAAACUUGUGCUAAUACCGGAUAAGCCCUUACGGGGAAAGAUUUAUCGCCGAAAGAUUGGCCCGCGUCUGAUUAGCUAGUUGGUGAGGUAACGGCUCACCAAGGCGACGAUCAGUAGCUGGUCGAGAGGAUGAUCAGCCACAUUGGGACUGAGACACGGCCCAAACUCCUACGGGAGGCAGCAGUGGGGAAUAUUGGACAAUGGGCGCAAGCCUGAUCCAGCCAUGCCGCGUGAGUGAUGAAGGCCCUAGGGUUGUAAAGCUCUUUUGUGCGGGAAGAUAAUGACGGUACCGCAAGAAUAAGCCCCCGGCUAACUUCGUGCCAGCAGCCGCU
rnacentral:rRNA from 1 species